rnacentral:piRNA from 1 species
UGCAGCCUGAGAGUUUGGCAAUCUCU